rnacentral:rRNA from 1 species
AUUGAACGCUGGCGGCAGGCCUAACACAUGCAAGUCGAGCGAGCGGCGGACGGGUGCGUAAUGUCUGGGGAUCUGCCCGAUGGAGGGGGAUCCCUACUGGAAACGGUGGCUAAUACCGCAUACUAUCAGAUGAACCCAUAUGGGAUUAGCUUGUUGGUGGGGUAAAGGCUCACCAAGGCGACGAUCCCUAGCUGGUCUGAGAGGAUGAUCAGCCACACUGGAACGGAGACACGGUCCAGACUCCUACGGGAGGCAGCAGUGGGGAAUAUUGCACAAUGGGCGCAAGCCUGAUGCAGCCAUGCCGCGUGUAUGAAGAAGGCCUUAGGGUUGUAAAGUACUUUCAGCGGGGAGGCGUUACCCGCAGAAGAAGCACCGGCUAACUCCGUGCCAGCAGCCGCGGUAAUAC